AAACAUUGAAAUACAUUUUAUAUAAGAGAAAAUACCAUACAUAGUUGUAAUGCCGAAUUUCUGCCCGGGGCCCAAAUAACAAAACAAAAAUAAACCCAAAAAUAAAAAGUCCAUUUACAAACAAGCCCAAACAGCCCACAAAACUAAAAAAAAUUUUGCAGCAAAAAAAACCUAGCAGGAGCCUUCAGCGCCUCAAGCCCCUGCCCAAAGCCAUCAAGCCGCAAUCAACCUCUGGCCUCGCAUGCGCGCCACUGCCACUCGCACGAGCCUCCGUACGCACAAGUCCAUUGCUUCGUACAAAACCUGCAAAGGACAAAAACAAGCAACGCAACAGAAGCAGAAAAAAGAAAAACAAAAUAAGAAAAAACAAAAUUACAUUUUUUUUGUUUUGUAAUUUUCAUUUUAGUUUUGGCUAUAUAAAGCCAUUUUUCAGCGUUUUGUAAGGGAGACGAAGAUUGAAUGUAAAAACGUACAGGCACACUGAAAUACAAAGAAAUUGAAAAAAGAAAUAAGAAACCAGUUCGAAGAAGGUGAUUUGGAGUUUUUUCUUUCUCUCGUUUUUUUCAUUAGAGAUUCUUUGAUUUUUUUUUCCUUUUAUUUACUGUUGAAAAAGGAAACAAAGGAAGAGUGAGGAGUUUACCUUCGUUGCGGAGCCAAAUCCUUGUCUUCUCUGUCGUAAUCGGAGGUCGGGCGAGGGAUCAGAGAGUAUUUGAGGGAUCGGUCUGCGAAGCGGCGCUGAGGGUUAU
rnacentral:lncRNA from 1 species